rnacentral:lncRNA from 1 species
GUGGAGAGUUGGACUGUAGAAUAGAAAUGAAAAUGAGUAAAUUCUAAUUCAGCCAUUUGUUUAGAGCGAGAUCUAUUUUUUUAGUAUUUAAAUUUCAUUCCGAUUUCAGUUACAAACCCAUUCCGAUUUUUAUUUCAAUUCAUUUUGAUUCGGUUGCGAACCAAAUGCUAAAUCCCUUCCCUGCUGCUAUUACAAUGGGUAAUGCAGCGACCAUCGAAACUCAUGUCCGGUGGUGUUGAGGGGUACAUGACUGAAAAUAAUAUAGAGUUGGGACUGUCUUGGAUGGGCUGCGGAGCCUCGGUGGAGUGCAGGGAACCUGCUCUUCUUCAGUCCGGAACCCUUCU